rnacentral:rRNA from 1 species
AUUGAACGCUGGCGGCAUGCCUUACACAUGCAAGUCGAACGGCAGCACGGGAGCAAUCCUGGUGGCGAGUGGCGAACGGGUGAGUAAAGUAUCGGAACGUGCCCAGUCGUGGGGGAUAACGUAGCGAAAGUUACGCUAAUACCGCAUACGAUCUAUGGAUGAAAGCGGGGGAUCGCAAGACCUCGCGCGAUUGGAGCGGCCGAUAUCAGAUUAGGUAGUUGGUGGGGUAAAGGCUCACCAAGCCGACGAUAUGUAGCUGGUCUGAGAGGACGACCAGCCACACUGGGACUGAGACACGGCCCAGACUCCGACGGGAGGCAGCAGUGGGGAAUGUUGGACAAUGGGCGAAAGCCUGAUCCAGCCAUGCCGCGUGCAGGAUGAAGGCCUUUGGGUUGUAAACUGCUUUUGUACGGAACGAAAAGGUUUGGCCUAAUAAGCUGAGCUCAUGACGGUACCGUAAGAAUAAGCACCGGCUAACUACGUGCCAGCCGCCGCGGUAA